ensembl:snoRNA
CCUGCCCCUAGAGGCAUUACGGAUGUGAAUGCUUUGUCACAUGUGUGUCAUUAGGUGGCAGAGAGAAGAGUCUUGUCUACGUCCAGUGCUCUGACCUGUGAGCCACUGUGUGAUUGAUAGUCUGACACU